ensembl:misc_RNA Y_RNA Y RNA
GGCUGGUCUGAAGGUAGAGAUAACAAUCAAGUUAUCUCACUUGAUUAUUCACAAUCAGUUACAGAUUGAACUUCUUGUUCUACUCUUUCCUCCCUUCUCAUUAUUGUACUCGACUAAUCUGUA